UUCUUUUUUGUCGUUCAUGAGCAUGGCGAUUGGUCCUCACUCCUUUGAAUGAUGUGUGCUGCCUUGUAAACCCUGUUAUGAUGUGGGCACAUUACCUAUCUGCUG